GCCUCUCAUAGAAUGUAACUUUGGUCAUAACAAACCCAGUCUUAUUACUGAAAUAAGUUGAAGCCUUCUAAACAAGUAGGCUUAGAACCUCUUUUCCACAGGAAAUGCCUGAUCACUGGAAUUUUGUAGCUAGAAGGUAUUCCUGAGCUCAGAGAUGCCACAUACUAUUAAAAUUAUUGGUAAUUUCCUCUUGCUUGGGCACUCAAGCUCUCUACCAUUGCAGGAAUUCAUGAGCUGACUCCUUUAUUUCAGGUGCUUCCAAACAAAACUGACAAGCAACACCCAGUUGCCUACAUUUUAGUUUGCAUUCAUCUCCACUGGGUGUAGGGUACUAGGAGCAUGCAGCACAAUUGUGCUUCUCUUCCAGCUGGAGUCUGUAGACUGAGCCAGGCCACCUUGUUUAGGCUCUAGUGCCUGACAAAGAGCUCAGUGGGCUGGAAGCCUAGUGCAGUUAACACUGAUGGCUUUGUAGCUUGGACAGGUGAAAGUCAGCAAGCUUCCCAGUAGACCAAUUGAUCUGAGUUGCCUCUCUGGCCAGAAGCCAGCCCUGGCAGGGAUCCAACUUCCUCUCAAGCACUGAGAAAGGGCUCAGGUGUAUCUGGUGGCCGGCAGAGCAGGUAGUCAGCCAAGGCUUCAUAGUUCUCACCCACGGCAAUUCAGCUAGCAAACUAGAGACACUUCCCCAAGAAGACACAGCGUGGCAAGACUGCUGAGACGCAUAAAGAAAUCUUAGCUGGAAUGCCUUCUCAGAAUCUUGAUUUUCAAAGUGAUGGAUUGGGAGAUCCCAAGCCAUGAAUAAAGGGUGCUCAUCACAGAUGGAACAAUGGCGAGAGCACACCUGGACAGGGGAGGGGCAGGAGUUCUGAUUCCUGACACAGGUUUCCUGGUUGAAUGUUCUGUUGUAGAAGAAUGCAACUGAGUUUUCUAAACAGAUCUUCUUCUUGACAUCCUUGCUGAACGAAAGUGACCGGCCCUCUUUAAGACUCAGUGUGCUUACCUCUGAAAUGGAGCUGUCAAUCACAUCUGCCUCACAGGCUUGUUCUGAGGAUGAAGUGAGAAAAUGCCCACGAGGUGCUGGUUGCAGCAGCUGGUGCAUAGAGCUUAAAAAGGAUGCAGUCCCAAAACAUAGAAGGAUUUACUCCAGAUCCAAGCAAUGAGUCAGGAACAGAAAGCCUGAUGCCCUCACCUGGAACUCUCCCUCCUCCCUGGAUGAGGACCUUCCCCAGAAUUGCAGGGCACCCACACAAGACCAAGCAAGUUCAGAGAAAAUUGAAACCUGACUUUAGAGCCUCUGGGAUGUUCACUACACCUCAUUGAACCUGUUUGGUUCACAGAGCUCCAACUACCGUCUACUUCCUGCAACUGGCCUGCUGCCAACUCCCCAGAUCUCUUGUGGAGCUGCCGGAAGAGACAGCCUGCCACAGAAGAAAGCAGCCCUCCUCUUUCAUGGCCUCCCACAUCUUGAAACAAACACAAGCAAACAAAACAAAAGCUUGAGUCCCAGCCUGAUUCACCAGGUUUGGUUCCCAAUUGUUGAAAUUCCCUUCCCAGGGCUCUCAGAACCAGGGUUGGCUGGAGGGGUGAAAGAGGCUGGCCCUGAGCCCAGUAAUAGGACACCAAGGGGGAGCUAAAAGCUGGGAUCUGGGGUGAAGAUGGGGUCUUCCAAGCUGGGAGGCAGACACCAGGCCAGAGCAACCGGCCUGCCCCAGCUCAGGCCUCUUAACCCAUGCAGGGCAAGAGUAUAAACAGAGGCCACGGACCACAUGCCUCAGUAUUUAAACUUAUAAAUCAAGCUAACAUAACAUGAAAUCAAAUAUGUUCUAUCCUCCUAGCUUGACAAAUACUUUCAUAACGAGAUGGAAUGCCAGGUUCAGAUUUAGAAUUUUCACACUCCUUAAAGUUCCAAGUCAAAAUACAGCAUUAGGGGAGGGCCCCCAACCUCGAGGUCUCCCCUCCCCCAUUUUCUUUCACUCCCAGCUCUGUCUCACACCACGAGGGAUCUUGGGUGAAUGCCCCUCGAUACCCCAGCCCCCCACAAACAGCUGCCCUUUCCCCCCUUGGCCAAGGGUAAGCACAGCAGCAGGGCAGUCUGCCCUUGGCUGGAGAGAUGGAAGGAGAGGCCACACGGGCCCUGAAAAUGCAUUUGGGGACUCUUGGGCAGGAAACUUGGGAGUUUCUGGAGCCUCAAGGAGGGUCUAGUGGGACAGAGCCACUUGGGCCCAUGAGAUCCUUGACCCAUGGAGAAGGGUAGGGCUAGAGGAGGGCCAGGGCAGGCCCUAUGAACAGAAGAACCUAGAGUAACUGCCCUGUCCCCAGAUCCUGUCACCGAGCAGGUAUACUUGGGAGGGUAUUGGAGGGUGGAACCCAAGGGAGCUUGCCCAAGGCACUAGGAAAGAAAAGUGUAAACCUUGUUAGAGAAUGCUAAGGAUAGCUGUUAAAGCCUCAGAGAUUUUACUCAUUUUUGGCUGUUUCUAAAAAUCUUCCCCCAAAGGAAGAUCUUGCUCUCAUUGAGGAUCUGAGAAAGAAUUCUCUCCAAGUAGUUUCAAAACAUUCUGAUGUAAAAACUCUGGUGUGUUAGUCAAAAAUAAAUUUUGUUGCUUGAUGGCUUCACCAUUCACAAAAUAUUCUAUCCAUCCAAUUUAAAAAUAAGAGCAGGGUAUUUAAAACUCUUUCAAUAAACACAAAUUAAAACAAUGAAGCUUG
rnacentral:lncRNA from 10 species